AAAUAAAAGUGACUUGACUGAUUUCAGUACAUAAAGCUGAACAAGAGCUCCUGAGCUGCUGAAUCUCUUCAGACAGUUGCCAAGGUAUCCUGGCAUCACCAUGAGGAAGCUUCCACUUAUCACCCUCCUCCUGGCCGCUCUAGCCUUUAGUGCAAAGGGUGUCCGUGCUCCAAGACAAGCGAACCCCAUUAUUAGCGACCUGUGGUUUCUGUAUGAUCAGGCCAUGGAGGAGAUUGGCAAGGCAGUUGGAGAAGAACAGCUACUUUCUGUACUAAAAUCGACAGCUGAAAUGGCCACCAAUGUGAGGCAUGCAGCAACCAAGCUCAUAGACUCCAUCAUCAGCAAAGCCUAGAGUUACUACCAAGCCAGAGCAUAUGGAUUUCUCUGGUCCUCUGUGAUGCCUCUGGUAUCCUUUGUUGUGUCAAGAACUGCACGUAAUUUGACCUGUAGGAUCACUAUGACACCUUCUGAAUGCAUGCCAAGUUUUGAAUUCCAUUCAUGGGAGGCCAUACAAUAAAUUCAUUUAUUUGUACAUUUA